rnacentral:rRNA from 1 species
UACGUAGGGUGCAAGCGUUGUCCGGAAUUAUUGGGCGUAAAGAGCUCGUAGGUGGCCUGUCGCGUCGGCUGUGAAAACUCGGGGCUCAACUCCGAGCUUGCAGUCGAUACGGGCAGGCUAGAGUUCGGCAGGGGAGACUGGAAUUCCUGGUGUAGCGGUGAAAUGCGCAGAUAUCAGGAGGAACACCGGUGGCGAAGGCGGGUCUCUGGGCCGAUACUGACACUGAGGAGCGAAAGCCAGGGGAGCAAACGGG